rnacentral:misc_RNA from 1 species
UAAUGGGAUCUUUAACCCACCUGCUAUCUGCCACAUCGGCGGUUACUCUGCGACGUGCAUGUCAUAAACAGCUACAAUUGGUGAAAACCCAAAAAGUGCCAAACCGUAUGACCUUUCCAUGUAUGAGCUGUAAGCCAUUCUCUGUCUGCUGCUCAAAGCAGUCUCCAUGGGAACCUUCACCUGUCACUUAUGUCCCUAGUGACAAUAUUGAAGAUAAA